rnacentral:lncRNA from 1 species
AAGGGAAGUGGCAGUCAUGAAGACACUCAAUCAGCCUUAUAGAGUCCAUGUGGUAAGGAGUUGAGGCCUCCUGCCACAUGAGUGAACCAUGUUAGAAACAACCUCCAGCCCCGGUCAAGCCUUCAGAUGACUGCAGCCCUAGCUGACAUCUCAACUUCAACCAAAAGGAGACCCUGAAUCUGAUUCUGAUUCAGUGGUUCUGACCACUCAGCUAAGGUGCUCCCCAAUUAUCAACCCACAGGGCUGUCUAGGAGAAAUCAGAGCACUACACAGAGCCUCCAUCUACUGCCCCGGAGCUAAAUCCCCUUGGAAUAUGUCUUAGCAGGUUUGCUUUCAACCCCUCAAAUUCUUUCGCCUGAAGUCUUCUAGAUGCAAGAAACAGAUGCUCCUUCAGCCUCCUGAAAUAAGAGAGGUUUAAUACUGGAGUGCACCUGGAGCAGUGAAGGGAGAUGGAGGGUCCUAGAUGCCAAGAUACUUCUCUGACCAUCUCAGAGCCUGCAGGUGGAGGAGAAUUCUAGAACCUCAGGCUGCUCUCCCAGUCCCCAGAUCUUCAUCCAAGUUCUCCACCAUUAACACAACCCAGCUGGUCUCCACAGAUAACCUCAUCUGUUUUUCUGUGCCUGCAACUUGUGCAUCCUUUCUGUAUUACCAGUUCAAAAUCCUGAAGGGUGAAAUCUACCUGGCCCAGUUAAUCUGUUCCCAGCAGGUCCCACCUUAAGGCUCUGGCUGGUCUCUGGGUUGACUGAUUCCUGAGCCCAUCUACUUGAUGCGGCUUCCCAGAUUAAGAAUGGAUGUUGAAAAGGAGUAAUUUCCAUGAGAAGAGCCAAGCUUUUCCGCAUCCAUGCCACGCACCAACCUCUCCCCAAGUUUUUCCUGAUAUGCGAUUCUCACUAUCGCUUCAUUCCAGUCUCUUCUGAUGUCAGCUCUUUACAAAGACCUUCCUUCCCUUCAGUGUCUCCACUCCCUGACCCUGCUUUCUGUGCCUCCGGGCGCUUGCAAUGACCUGAUAUUCUAUUUCCUCAUCAAUUGGCUCUCAUGCCAAUCUCCCCAAGAGAGCAGGAACUGUUAUCUCCCCCAGGGGAAUGGAAUGGCCCUACAGGGAGAGACUGCCUGUUCUCUGCAGUAUUUCCAGGCCCUGGUAUGCUGCCUGGUACAGCUGGCACUCAGAAGCUUGGGGAGUGAAUUUGUAUUUCCCACGUCAUCAUGACUGCUUUUCUUGCAAUAAAGAUCCCAACUUCUGCUCUCACCACUACACCUGCAACAGUAUUUCAGAUAUUUGAUGCUGGAGAUGGCGAGUCCUAGUAUUUUACAGUUGGCACAGACUCUACAAGUCAUCGAGUUUCCUCAUAUCAACAGAUUGCUCAAAAGCAACACACGUUCAUAGUCACCUACCAAUAGCAAACACAGUGCUUGGCACUGGAGAUAAAAAGUGAAUUAAGAAAGUGGUCAUUCAAGUUGCUCCCAAGAGGAAAUAGAGAGAUACACAAUUAAUGUCAACACCAAGAGGCAAACAUGACAUAUCCAUGAGACUCUGGAGACAGAAGUGGCACUUAACCUGAGAGGAAGAGAGGGUAUCAGGGGAGACUUCACAGAGGAGGUGAUUGCUAUUUGGAAGAAAGAUUGCAAAUUGAUCCCAAAAAGAAGGAAGGAAAGGGUAUCCAGGCAGAGACCAGAGCAAAAGCAAGGCGCAAUGACACUUCAAAUAAUCCAGCCGGAUGCAUUUCAGAGCAAUGAGCAGGAAUGGUCACUAGACUGGAGCAGAUUAGGAAGGUACACAGUAAGUUCUGUUUUGACAAGUGGAGUUGGCAUAGCCUGCAAGACAACCAAGGGGAGAGGGUUCCAAAAUAACUUCAGCUGUGAAUGUUUGGCUCAAGAGAAGGCUAGAGCAAAGAAUCACUGCAUUAGAGAUGAGGAAACAGACUCAGAGAAAUGAAGCAAUUGGAUCAAGAUCACACUGGAAUUAUGAGUGAAUGAAGCCCAGGCCUUCUCCCCAGCAGCCCAAUGAUCCUGCCAUCACCUGGCUGGCUUUCAUCAAGCCAAGCCUCCAUGCUGCACUGGAGAAGAUGUCCCUGCCCAGACACCUCACCAUUUGCACUUCCCAGGCCACCCUCUGCUUUUCUGUAGCGUGGAGAGUUCACCGUGAUCAUGGGAAGGCCAGGGCUUGUCCAGGGAUUGGGCUAAGAUGCUCCCAUCACUAACUUGACUUGAAGAGUCAUUAUAUGUGGGUGACUGCCCACACACCAGUAAUUAUCCAACCUGUUUUAAAAAAUCCCCUGUAAUAGAACAGGCUCUGUUUCAUUCUGAAGGAUGUCAGAUUUAAUUAAAAUAUUGUUCCACGUGUGUAAAUAUAGGUAGAGGAAUAAAUAUAAGCAUAGCACAAUUAAUC